rnacentral:rRNA from 1 species
UACGGGGGGAGCAAGCGUUGUUCGGAUUUACUGGGCGUAAAGGGCGCGUAGGCGGUCAGUGCAAGUCAGUUGUGAAAUCUCCGGGCUUAACUCGGAAAGGUCAACUGAUACUGCUCGACUAGAGUGCGGAAGGGGCAACUGGAAUUCUUGGUGUAGCGGUGAAAUGCGUAGAUAUCGGGAGGAACACCAGUGGCGAAGGCGACUUCCUGGCCUGUUCUUGACGCUGAGGCGCGAAAGCUAGGGGAGCAAACGGG